UGCAGUCGAACGGUAACAUGAGAGCUUGCUCUUGAUGACGAGUGGCGAACGGGUGAGUAACACGUAUACAAUCUACCUUUAACUGAGGAAUAGCCCAGAGAAAUUUGGAUUAAUACCUCAUAGUAUUAUUUUAAGGCAUCUUAUUAUAAUUAAAACUCCGGUGGUUAAAGAUGAGUAUGCGUUCUAUUAGUUUGUUGGUGAGGUAAUGGCUCACCAAGACUACGAUAGAUAGGGGGCCUGAGAGGGUGAUCCCCCACACUGGUACUGAGACACGGACCAGACUCCUACGGGAGGCAGCAGUGAGGAAUAUUGCGCAAUGGAGGAAACUCUGACGCAGCCAUACCGCGUGUAGGAAGAAUGUCCUAUGGAUUGUAAACUACUUUUAUACAAGAAGAAACCCCAGUAUGUAUACUGGGCUGACGGUAUUGUAAGAAUAAGCACCGGCUAACUCCGUGCCAGCAGCCGCGGUAAUACGGAGGGUGCAAGCGUUAUCCGGAUUUAUUGGGUUUAAAGGGUCCGCAGGCGGGAUUCUAAGUCAGUGGUGAAAGCCUACAGCUUAACUGUAGAACUGCCAUUGAUACUGGAAUUCUUGAGUCUGGUUGAAGUAAACGGAAUAUGUCAUGUAGCGGUGAAAUGCAUAGAUAUGACAUAGAACACCAAUUGCGUAGGCAGUUUACUAAACCAUUACUGACGCUCAUGGACGAAAGUGUGGGGAGCGAACAGGAUUA
rnacentral:rRNA from 1 species